UUAAUCGGGACCAACCAUUUGAUAGAGCAUUAAGUAUUCCGUCAUUUCGUCUGCCCUACGCUUGGCUUGAUUUUUGAUCAUUAGUUUUAGAAGUUAUUUUGUCAUUUUUGAACGCUCGGCUUAUCCAUUAAUAGCACGAAAAUGGACAGAAGUUUGGACGAACUUAUUAAAGAAAACCCGAAAAAAUUCAGCCUCAACAAAGGGAGAUAUCAGCCAAAGCCUAACAAAAAUUCUGGAAAUGCUACUGGAGUGAAAAGAGGUGGAAUUCGCAAUAAUAAAAAAAAUUACAAUAAUUCACUGCCAGGUGUGGCCAAAAAUGGAGGAGGUCGUGUGACCAAGCAAGGCGGCAGACAGAAUGGUGCAAAUCCUGUUUUUAAGGGAAAUUCUAACAAACAGAAUGUAAAGCCACCAACCAAGAAAGGUGGUGUCAUUGUUGUUGAUGCUAGAAAUAAGCUGUUGGCCAAAAAUAGGCUCAAAAUUACUGAUGCAAGAGAUCGCUUGGCUGCAAUGGCAAAGAAAACUGACCUCCGCCAGAAACUAGCUUCAAAGAAACCAGAGCUUUCAAGAAAACCAGCAGUAUUGCACACAAGGCCAAAUCAAGGAAUAAAAAAGUUAAUACGAGAGGUAGGAAGAUCCCACAAUCUUACCAGGACAACAAUUGGCAGAACGGUGGAAAAUGAGCUAGCUAGAUUGAAUGUUGGACCUGUGGCUUCUCAUUAUAUCCCACCCAGAUAUGAUCUCCUCCCUCCACCUAACUUUUACCCUUACCACCAGCAAGCUCCCAGUUAUGACCUUAAGCAUAACAUGAGUACUGCAGCAAUGGACUGUGAACCCCCUUUGUCAGCAACCAAGCGAAUCCUUUCCGCCGAAAAGCGUCUUGGCCCAAGGACGGAGGUCAAGUCGAAACCCGAGACUGGACACAGGAUUUAUGUGAGCAAUCUUCAUCCAAAAGUGACACAAGAAGACAUCGUCGAACUCUUUGGUGACGUAGGCUCCUUAGUAAGAGCGUCACUUCAACGACCCGGCGUUGCAGAAGUUGUCUAUGUUCGUCGUGAUGAUGCCUUGAGAGCCGUCGAUGUCUACCAUAAUCGACAAUUGGAUGGACUCCCUAUGCACUGUAGUAUGGGUGCCAUUUUUGAACCCAGACGAGAAGCAGCUCCUGCGGCAAUGAAACCAAGGGCUCCGUUAAGCUCGGGCAAGGCUCAUAUCGCGCCAGAUAUUGGAACUAUUCACAAGGCACUGUUUAAUAAAGCAACCUCUCGCAACUCACAGAUUUUCACUGUCACUUUACCCAAGAAAGACACGUGAAUUUGUUAAUUGAAGGUAAACAAGGUUCUGGUUGACCCACUACCAACUGGUUCGUGUUUUUUUUUUUUUUGUCGUGACAGUUAUCUUUUUUUUUUUCCGCACCUUGUCCAUUUCUUUUGUGCUGGACGAAGUUACUCUGAAAGAACUCCCCAAGUCAGGACUGAAUUCCACGCUUCCGUUGUCUUCCGCCGUUAUACCCACAGGAUAGAUACUGUCCAUUAGACUGUGAUCAACUGUCGGUCGACCGUUAUCGGAUUUUGCACCAAUCAUGUCGUCGAACCGAUAGCCCCAUAAAAUCUCGCAGGGUAAAUAAGAGGACAUGGCCUGUGUUGACAUAUCCGUUGACGAAGUAGUGCCUUCGAGAGUGACGAUAAUUUCAAAUGCAGCUUGCAUCAUGUCAGCUUCGUUCAUGCCAUAUAAAGGAGAUUCAACCGUGAUUGAAUGAACUAUAGUAGUUGGCCAGAGGAGAAGCAAGUCUGAAUCUUCUCCAGAAGGAUGCAAUCGAAGAGGUUGCUGAUCUAGAGUAACGACAUGUCCUUCUCGGGUUGUGCGAGUCUGACUGACAAGAGUGGCCCUAAUUCGGGCGCCGAUGAUACGAGAAGUGUGUCGAUCAGCUAUUCUAAACAUCAGAGAAAGUUGUCCAUCUUGUUGGCAAAUCACGGAGAACUGACUGAAUGCAAUUGCUUGGGCUCGCCAUUUCGUCCGUACUAAUUUCGUAAAAACCACACCAACGAGGAAGGCCUCAAUAAUGGUACCCAGAAUAGCCUGUUAAUGUUACGAUAGCAGCAGCACAGUCCUCAGUGACUCGCGAAAAUCCAAAUCCAAUCGUCGUUUGAAUUUCCAGGCUGAAAAGGAAAAUCGAUGUGAAAUCUCUGAUGUUUUCUACGCACGGUUGACUGCUAUUAGCAACCACGUCUCCGACAAGGCCUAAAAAUGGCAUUUACCCGAUUGCUGCCUAGACUUCUUAAGAAAAAUGUCAACAAAUCUUACCAGAUUCCUUUGUUUCGAAGUCACCAUGGAAAUAGCAUAUCAACCAAAAGAGGACGGCGAACAUUGUCCAUGUUACAUAGAAGCUGGCGAAAAAUAUAAAUCCUGUCCAUCGCCACUUAGCGUCAACCAGCCAAGUAAAUAGGCCAACAAAAGUUCCAGUUCCAGGUCCAGUAAUUUGGCCAUUGCUGAUGUUAGAUUCUCCUGAUUUUGUGACGAGUCGCCUAAAGCUGUUACGUUUUCUGAAAAGAAACCAGAAAUGACGUCUGGUCCUGCUUGGGUGUGAUUACUAUAGAUCGAGAAGUAGUAGUUUGUUCUGGAUUGCUGUUAUUCCAUCCCUGUUUUCCACUAUCGGGCAACAUUGGCUCCAGUGAUUCGAUGACCGCUGUAGAGGAUUCCAUCACAGAACGUUUGUUACUUAUACUUAGUUAUAGAAUUGGUGGUUUUGCUUUCAAGCUGAAGAAAACAUCCGAAUUGUGCUAUGCAGUUAAGCAUAUGAAACGUCACUUUCAAGAAACACGACCACCAUCUAUGAAAGCAGUUCACGUAAAGCCAACCAAAAAACGUAGGUGAAAAAUCAACUGGUUAUCGUGAAUUACAUUAACAUGGACCUAAUUACAAAAACGAAAAUGGAAUCAAUCCGGAGUGACGUAGAAGGGAUACUACUUUUGAUUGGUAGGUUCUCCUUUUUCCUUUUUUAUUAUGUGCUAGAAAAUAUGACCGUUGAACGACAGGUAGAUCAUAUUGUUCUCAUCUUACCGGAUUUUCGUAGUAAACAUUGAUUUCAAUGCCAUACUAUUUUGUAUACAACUUGGGAGGAACAUCCUUUGAAUAGAAUUCUGUCCAUUACCGCAGAGGUGCUUCCUCUCCUGUAAAAAAUUCGUAUGCUAGCAAAUCAGGUCGCGGGUUCGCAUUACAGCACUUGAAAAUUCCAUAGUGUGAUUAUCGGUAACACAGAAGACUGCUGCAAAAUUUACGAAAACAUCCGAAAGUUUGGCCACAUGUUAUUAUUACGAUCGAUUUUGGGGUCUUUACGUUUGGGGUUAGAGGAUGACGUAUCCUUCUCGGUAUUAAUAUUGAUGUCCCUUAUCUAUUUUUCUGCUUAAUUUUGCUAUAAGGUUUCUUACAUCUUAACAUUGUAUGUUUGGGCAAGUCCUUUUUUCUUUUCUUUUUUUCUCUCGUUUUUUUUAUAAACGAAUUAACUUCUCUUUUUUGUCGGAUUCAUUAGGUCCUAAGCCAACAUAUUACAUUGCUGUCGAUCGAAAUAUGAAAAGGCCAAAUCUUAAGGAACCGAUAACACGGGAUGACUUGGUGGCGAAUGCGACGAACUGUUCUAACAGAAUAAAGCAAUUGAAAGCUUUUCACUUCAACUAGUUCCAGCUUCUUGCUUUGGAACAACUCGCACAAAGGGUUUGUUUGCAUUUGCCGAAUCUACCAAAUGACUUGGCUCGACAUUCCGUCUAUCCGUCGUUACUUUAAUAUGGUUAAGCAACCACCUUUUAUUUUGCCUUCUUCUAUAGACACUUUCUUUCAAUUACAGUGACGUUUUCAUGGAUUUUCUCCCAAGAUUCUUCAUUAAUUUUCUUUGGUUGAAAAUCUGACAACUAACGGAAUAUGUGUAGAAUAUUCGAUAGGAAAACGUUGACCAUCUUUUCUUUCAGUGCCUGUUUCUAGUGUCAGGUAAACUGUUCAUGUCUGUGAUACGUUGCCAUCUAGUCAUCGCAAAAUGCAGACUUCCGGAUCGAAUCAGCGGAGAUUUAAAAAAUGAAACACCACCAAUGAAAGACGAACUGGUGAAACAUUUUAUUGACGAAAGCGGAUCGAAGUCCACAUUAUUAUGUCUCCUUCCGGCUGUUCGAAAAAAACAAAAAUCCAGUUUUGGUAACUGGAUCAGUUUGCUGAAACCAUUUCUUCCGUCCCCACCAUUUUAAUCUUACAACUCUAAUGAUCUGUCUUGCGUUACGCCAUCGACUCACGCGGGAUUCAGCCACAUGGGAAGAUCGAAAUUGUCUUUUUUUCCCGCUCAUUUACAGGAUGUAUCAGUUAGCGCGUUUUGCAUCGGAUUGAUUGUUAUGCUGACGGGUGUGAAUCUGGAAUAUUUGGUGACUAAAACAUUAUGAUUGAAAUAGAUCUGUAUAGAACGUUGGAUACAGUAAAAUAAGAGAGGGCAACAUUAAUUCAGGAGUUUCAACAUGGAGUAGCUGUAAUCUAUGACUCUGAUGUAACUAAGAGAUCCGGAAGAAGAGUUUUGGGAAGGACUAGGACUAUAAAUCGACAUUCAUAAAAAAAAUAUCAAUAUAAAUUUAAAGUUACUAAACCUAUACAGGCUUAAAAAGAAGCCCGACAAAAGAAUCCAGACUUUCCUUUUUUUUUUUUUUAAUAGCACACGUACAUUGCUUUAAAAUUACAUGAUUUCUAUUCAAAAUUCAAGAUUGAUCUCAAUUUCGUUGCAAGUUUGGCUUCAAACGAAAGUGGGUGGUGCCUUAACCGCUGCUGCAUAUUUUAAAGACAUCUAGGGGAGAAAUGACUAACUCCAAAUCAUUUCCAUGGAUACAUCAGCUGUUCUAUCAGCCGUUUUAUUUCCCGUGUCGUCUUAUUGAGGAAUGUAGCUCUAUCGAACGUGGUCUUCACAGAAAUUUCACCCCCGAUUGCGUUUGUCUUGGCCUGGAUUUUGUGGAUGAAAUCCAUUUUAAGUUGUUAAAUGAAGAGCAUGGCUUGGUUUUACAAGCACGUUGUUCAUCUCCAAUUCUCCAUUAGUCAAGUCCACCCAUUUUGGUACCGAAGGUGCUACAUAAAAAAAGGCAUUUCUUUGUGAUCUUUUCAAGAGCUAGACUCCAUCAGGUUUUUGGGGUUUGCCUGAUAUGCUGUGGUGGCCGCAGAAUCAUUCUGUGACAAAAAUGAAUACUAACAAUGUUCUGUUAGCGGAAUGCAAGAUUUCCAGUAUUAAUCUGGCAUUGGUGAAUUAUUAGCUCACAUGCAAGAAACAAAGAAGUUCAAGAUGAUUUUGGUUUCGACAUUGUUCUUUACUGAUUAGUUGAGUUUGUCACAUUGUGAAGUUUAUUGAAAUACUUCAAUCUAUUAAAAUUCUUUGACAAUA
rnacentral:misc_RNA from 1 species